rnacentral:rRNA from 1 species
CAGUAGCCACGGUAAUACAGAGGGUGCGAGCGUUAAUCGGAUUUACUGGGCGUAAAGCGUGCGUAGGCGGCUUCUUAAGUCGGAUGUGAAAUCCCUGAGCUUAACUUAGGAAUUGCAUUCGAUACUAGGAAGCUAGAGUAUGGGAGAGGAUGGUAGAAUUCCAGGUGUAGCGGUGAAAUGCGUAGAGAUCUGGAGGAAUACCGAUGGCGAAGGCAGCCAUCUGGCCUAAUACUGACGCUGAGGUACGAAAGCAUGGGGAGCAAACAGGAUUAGAUACCCCGGUAGUCCCUGUCUCUUAUAC